AGCAGAGAUGCUUUAGUGCCUUCGGGAACUCUGAGACAGGUGCUGCAUGGCUGUCGUCAGCUCGUGUUGUGAAAUGUUGGGUUAAGUCCCGCAACGAGCGCAACCCUUAUCCUUUGUUGCCAGCACGUAAUGGUGGGAAACUCAAAGGAGACUGCCGGUGAUAAACCGGAGGAAGGUGGGGAUGACGUCAAGUCAUCAUGGCCCUUACGAGUAGGGCUACACACGUGCUACAAUGGCGCAUACAAAGAGAAGCGACCUCGCGAGAGCAAGCGGACCUCAUAAAGUGCGUCGUAGUCCGGAUUGGAGUCUGCAACUCGACUCCAUGAAGUCGGAAUCGCUAGUAAUCGUAAAUCAGAAUGUUACGGUGAAUACGUUCCCGGGCCUUGUACACACCGCCCGUCACACCAUGGGAGUGGGUUGCAAAAGAAGUAGAUAGCUUAACCUUCGGGAGGGCGUUUACCACUUUGUGAUUCAUGACUGGGGUGAAGUCGUAACAAGGUAAGCGUAGUGCU
rnacentral:rRNA from 1 species